rnacentral:rRNA from 1 species
GUAGUGACCUGCGGAGGAUCAUUACCUAGAGUUUGUAGACUUCGGUCUGCUACCUCUUACCCAUGUCUUUUGAGUACCUUCGUUUCCUCGGCGGGUCCGCCCGCCGAUUGGACAACAUUCAAACCCUUUGCAGUUGCAAUCAGCGUCUGAAAAAACAUAAUAGUUACAACUUUCAACAACGGAUCUCUUGGUUCUGGCAUCGAUGAAGAACGCAGCGAAAUGCGAUAAGUAGUGUGAAUUGCAGAAUUCAGUGAAUCAUCGAAUCUUUGAACGCACAUUGCGCCCCUUGGUAUUCCAUGGGGCAUGCCUGUUCGAGCGUCAUUUGUACCUUCAAGCUCUGCUUGGUGUUGGGUGUUUGUCUCGCCUCUGCGUGUAGACUCGCCUUAAAACAAUUGGCAGCCGGCGUAUUGAUUUCGGAGCGCAGUACAUCUCGCGCUUUGCACUCAUAACGACGACGUCCAAAAGUACAUUUUUACACUCUUGACCUCGGAUCAGGUAGGGAUACCCGCUGAAACUUAAUCAUAUCAAUAACCGGAGGAA